GGUUUCGUAGUGUAGUGGUUAGCACUCCAGACUUUGAAUCUGGCGACCUGGGUUCAAAUACCGGCGAGACCU
rnacentral:tRNA from 3 species